rnacentral:tRNA from 1 species
AAAUUUACAUAGUACAACAGUACAUCUAUGUAUAU